rnacentral:rRNA from 1 species
GGUGGUGCAUGGUUGUCGUCAGCUCGUGUCGUGAGAUGUUGGGUUAAGUCCCGCAACGAGCGCAACCCUUAAACUUAGUUGCCAGCAUUUAGUUGGGCACUCUAAGUUGACUGCCGGUGACAAACCGGAGGAAGGUGGGGAUGACGUCAAAUCAUCAUGCCCCUUAUGAUUUGGGCUACACACGUGCUACAAUGGACAAUACAAAGGGCAGCUAAACCGCGAGGUCAUGCAAAUCCCAUAAAGUUGUUCUCAGUUCGGAUUGUAGUCUGCAACUCGACUACAUGAAGCUGGAAUCGCUAGUAAUCGUAGAUCAGCAUGCUACGGUGAAUACGUUCCCGGGUCUUGUACAC